rnacentral:lncRNA from 1 species
UGGAAAAACCAACAAUUUAACUUGAUAAUCAACACUCUAGGCAGAAUAGUUAGGUUUUGGGAUGAUGGUUUUGAUGGUGGGGAAGCUAAGACAGGAAGAUGAAGGAAAAAAGGACCAUUUGCAACCAUAUAUAAGGAAAGGGCAUUUAUAAAUCAGAAUAAUUUCUAAUUGUUAAAAUAAUCACUAUGCUCACACAUUCUAUUUAACCUUCCUCUUUUAGCUGGAUAUACUGUGGGGCUUUUAUAGAAAGCAAUACUUUGAGGGUAAUUUAGCCACUUUGAAAAAAGAAUAUAUAUAAUAUAUGAAGGGUUAUUUUUACAGAGAACAAUGCUCAGUUACUCCCUGUUUCCAGAGUAGAAGAGGAAAAGAGCUUUACCUAGAGCAAGAAAAUAGAAAAGGCUUUUUAGCACUGAGAAGUGUUCAUUCCUGGGAAAAGAAAGACAAAGAAUGGCUUAAUCACUGACUGUCAAAUAAAUGAAGGCCUAUCAACUGGAGAGAAACUGUUAGAUAAAAGAGAGAGAGAACUAAAACAAAAGAUCUACCCUAGAAGGAAGCACCAUUUUGAUUCUAAAGAUUGUGGGAGUCUCUUGGGG